GUUCGAGUAUGUGAGUGUGUGGGUCUGGGUCGAAGGAUAGGUGAGCCAUGGGUUGCAAAUGCGAGGUGGGCUGGGGAUGUGUAACUUGGUCAAAGAGAGGCUGUUUGAUCCAGGAUCAAUGAACUUUUAAGCUCUAUUUAGGAAGCUGUUUAGUGCUGAAGGGAUCUAAAAUGGGAAGACUUACACUUGAUUCCGCAGUGGAGAUUCAUCCAAAUUCAAUUGCAUUAUCACUCAAGAAAGCUUCUCGUCGUUUCAUUCCUCACAAGCUUGGUUGAAAGCAAAUCCAGCCUCAGAUCCAAGGCGGAACCUCCAAUUCCGGCCCAGAUUACGUCGUAAAUGGCGAAGGAGAAGGAGGUAUCGCAACGAGAACAUUGUAUUUGCCGUCGGAAUGGUGAUGGAGGAAUUUAAUGCCUAUAAUUCCAUGACGCAGCAGCCGUAUUGGCCAUGCCCGCACCGCCGUCAACUUCGAUGUCGUCUACAGAUAAUUCAACGGGAAAAUGAAUUGGAGGAGAAUCCAGUGACGUUAAGUGACUGCUUUUGCCCAAGAAUAUCUUGCGGACAUGGCCGAUCUCCAGUGCCUUUCUCCUACACAUCAACCUUGUGUGUCUGAUCACAUGGAAUAAAUCAAGGAUAUGAUGACUCAGGUAUGUAUCUUUAUGCCUACUCAAUGAUUAAUUUUUUUAAGUUUACUUUCUGAAAGUUGCAAUUAUAAGAUUCAAACCAGGGUAGUCCCACAAUGAAAUCCAUUGAAAGAUCAUCCCAUAUUCGUUCGGAAAUAAACCAACUGGAGCUUCAGUUCCCUCGUUCAAUUUGUUUCUCAUUGCAACCAAAAUAGGAUCAAUUUGCGGUUGGUCUAAAAUUAGCUUCAAAUUCAUACUUCCAAGCCACACUAAUUGCCGUACAUUCUAGUGUUUGAGGAAGUCUUGAUAAACCAUCAGCUGCCCUAUUCUCUUUUCCUGGUUUGUGCACAAUUUCAAUGUUGAAUCCCAUUAAUUUUUUCAUCAACUUAUGAUAUUCUCAACCCACCAUUCGUUGAUCCAAUAUUAAUUUAUGAUAUUCUUCACCUGGGGAACAUGAGAAAAGCACAAACAACCGAACACCUUCAAAAUUUUCAGGUUUGGUUUGGUAUUAAACUAAGUUUCGUAGUGUGUCAUCUUCUCCAAUACACUUGGAACAACCAAGCACCUUCAUAUAAAGACUGUUGUGUUUGCUGUUUCAACCCAAAACUCAUUCAAUAAGUUCCUCUCAUGCAACAUACCUCUUGUCAUCUCCAUAAUACUCCAGUUCUUCCUCUUAGUAACUCUGUUUUGAAUUAUAGUAUAUGAAACAGUGAACUGAUACUGUAUCCCAACUUUUCAUUAAAGGAAUUAAACCUUUGUGAUGUGCAUUCA